UUUCUCACUUCUCUUUCCCCCGCGCCCCCAGUUUCUUCCUACGAUUUCUUCUCCUCGCCGACGCCUCUAUUAACUCCGACAAUCUUUUCCAGGCCACGUUGAUUCCUUUUUUCUCUUCUCCGGAAAUCGGAUUUCGAUCUAUCAACUCUCCUAUGGUUUUGCGUUUCUCUUUUUGGUCGGAUUUUGCAACAUGAAACCGGCCCGUCCGAAAACUAUUUUCGGAUCCCGGCGGGCCUCCAAACGCAGUACUCAUGAAACGGGUUUGAAAAUGGUUUCAAAUCCACUAUUCAGACGAAGCUUCAUCACAUAAACAGUCUCAUCAUCAGUGCCUUCCCUUUAACCUUCCCUUUUAGUUGCUUAACUCUCAAUCUUGUGGUAUCUGCGCACCAGCAUCUGUACAUUCAUUUUGCUGAACUAAUCUGUGGGUUACUGUUGACUGGCAUUGCUUUAUAUUCGGUUUUUCUGAACUGAACUGUUAUUGCUUUAUGUUUGCAGUAUAGCGUUUGGUACUUUAAUAUUUUGGUAUUAUUCUCGGCUGCCAUUGCUUUUUAUUAUUGUUAUGGAGGGAUUUGAAGUUUAAAUCUCUGAUGAUAUUCUUGCUAGUUUUAAGGUGAAUUAAGAUGUUAUUUGUCCCCAAAAAUUCCUUGUUUCACGACUUUCACAAGCCAUAUUCAACGUUUUGAUAAAUAAACAUCUCAUUUAAUUUUUGAUUGUUUCAAAUCUAUAUUUAUGUUUUGUUUUCUUCCUAGUUGAUUCUUUCUUCUUUUUUGUUUUAAUUAUAUACUAUUUCAAGUUGUGGAUAUGAUGUUGAAAAAGUAAAAGGUAUGAGCAGGAAGAAUAUGUUGGCAGUGACAAUGUGUGAAGUUAGGGGAAAGGAAGAGGGCCCCUGUCCUUGUUAUAGUUAUAGCAGUGCGACUUUCGCAACCUCUUCUACAACAAUUAUGCCGUGCUUAAGCGCGGCAACGGGUUGUAUGAAAAGGCGUGGGUUGCAUUUUAGAGUUGAGUGCUAACCUAGACUUCUCCCGACAUCAUACAUCUAUUGCCGGACUUUGAACAUCUGUCGGCUGCCCAUGUGCUUUCCUGCAUUGAUCAACCUUAAUGCUGAUCCUUCCACUGUCUCAUGUUUGUUAGCUCCGUCUCUUUUGCUUUCUCUGUCAGAACAACUAAAUUGCUGUGUGAUGUUAAAGUUUUUUUACUUAGAAACAUUGAAGGGUAUCUUCUUUUCUCCAUUUUCCCCUUCACCACCAUAUUUGAUUUGAAAACAGCCAAAGUGGGUAGCUGCACUUACCAAUUUAUAGCGAAUUGCUACAUGUCACAUUUCCCCCAUAUUUUCACAUUUUAUCAUUUCCUGUAACAAAAGAGGAAUUCAUUUCUUGAUCAAGGAAUUGUUUCUCAUUUGACUCAAGAGAGCUUGAUAAAAGGUUGUGCCACAGUUCACGUUGUUAGUGAUAUGAGCACACAUUUGAGCACCCAGAUGAUCAUAAGUGGGUGUGGGUGCGCUCGUGUAAUUGUUCAUAUUUUCAUGAUUUCUCAGCUCUGGCAGCAUCCUAGCCUUGGUCAGAAGAGCUGAGAUUAUAAAGCAUCUUGGCUUUGGAUACGUGAAGUGAAGACCCGUCAUUGACUGAAAUGUUAACUCUUGCAGCAGGUACCUGGCUUUUCAUGUGGCAACUACUACAUCAUUACACCAGCAUGUGAUUAUGAACGACAAAACUUAAUAGCAUUACUAAAAGAAGAGGAGGUCCAUCACUCUGUUAGUUAGCUUGAGGGGGAAGAUGGCAUUGAGAUUAUCAACUUAAUCCUGCCCUUUAAGCAAGUCUCUAGCAUCAGCACUGGACUUGUUAGAGGAGUAGAAUCAAAACCCAAGUUGGAACAAGAUGCUGUGAAAACUGAAGUCGACUGAGAUUCAAAAAGCUUGACGCUUUUCCAAAAAUGCAAAUCAGUACAAGCUAUAUAACAACGACUGCAACAAUAGUUACACCCAGAAGAAAUCCGUAGCCUAUUUUCCAAUCACUCCCUGCACCUCCAAUAUGGAUUCCCAACACAAUGUUCAAAGCUCCAAAGAAGAG